rnacentral:rRNA from 1 species
UACAGAGGUCUCAAGCGUUGUUCGGAUUCAUUGGGCGUAAAGGGUGCGUAGGCGGCGCGGUAAGUCGGGUGUGAAAUCUCGGAGCUUAACUCCGAAACUGCAUUCGAUACUGCCGUGCUUGAGGACUGGAGAGGAGACUGGAAUUUACGGUGUAGCGGUGAAAUGCGUAGAUAUCAGGAAGAACACCCGUGGCUAAGGCGGUUCUCUAGUACGGUACUGACGCUGAGACGCGAAAGCGUGGGGAGCGAACAGG